GUCCACGCCGUAAACGAUGAGUGCUAGGUGUCGCGGGCUUUGACCCCUGCGGUGCCGCAGCUAACGCAUUAAGCACUCCGCCUGGGGAGUACGGCCGCAAGGCUAAAACUCAAAGGAAUUGACGGGGGCCCGCACAAGCGGUGGAGCAUGUGGUUCAAUUCGACGCAACGCGCAGAACCUUACCUGGGCUAGAAAAUGCAGGGACCUGGUUGAAAGAUCGGGGUGCUCUUCGGAGAACCUGUAGUUAGGUGCUGCAUGGCUGUCGU
rnacentral:rRNA from 1 species